rnacentral:rRNA from 1 species
UACGAGGGUGCACGUUAAUCGGAAUUACUGGGCGUAAAGAGUGCGUAGGCGGUUUCUAAGUUUGGUGUGAAAUACUCCCGCUUAACUGGGAGGGUGCGCCGAAAACUGGAAGGCUUGAGUAUGGGAGAGGUAAGCGGAAUUCCUGGUGUAGCGGUGAAAUGCGCAGAUAUCAGGAGGAACACCGGUGGCGAAGGCGGGUCUCUGGGCCGUAACUGACGCUGGAGAACGCGAAAGCGUGGGGAGCAAACAGG